rnacentral:misc_RNA from 1 species
CAGAGUGUAAAAACUCCCAAAACCCAUGUGAACAUACCUUUUUGUUGCUUCGGCGGGAUCGCCCCCGGGCGCCUUGUGUGCCCCGGAGUCAGGCGCCCGCCGGGGACCCAAACUCUUGUUUUUUUAACGAGUAUCUUCUGAAGUAACGUUUUUUAAAUAAAUAAA